rnacentral:rRNA from 1 species
GAGGAACCUGUUACAUAAUCGAUAAUCCACGAUGGACCUUACUUAAAUUUGUUUAGUUUAUAUACCGUCGUUAUAAAAAACUUUUUUAGAAAAAUAGUUUUUAAUAAUUAUUAUUUUAAUUUAUAUCAGAUCAAGGUGUAAUUUAUGUUUAAGAGUUAAUGGGUUACAAUAAAGUUAUUUAUAUGAAUUUUUUAUUGAAAUUUGAGAAUGAAAGUGGAUUUGAAAGUAAAUUUUUAAAGAUAGAAAAUUUGAAAUUAGCUCUAAAGUAUGUAC